AAAUGAAUCCACUCUGCCCAGUCAUAUUAAUACUCACAUUCCUCGAGGCACCGGCCAAGGAGGUGGAGUUGCAGCCAUCUUUGACUCAAGCCUAUUAAUCAAAUUAAAUUAUAACUCAUUCGGAAGCCUCGUUCUUAGUCUUUUACACUCAACCUGGUAACACUAUAGCCAAUUCUAUUUGUUAUAGUGUACCUGGUCCUUAUUCUGAAUUUUUAUCUGAAUUCUUUGAGUUUUUAUCAAGUUUAUUCCUUAAAACAGAUAAACUAAUUAUUGUUGGUGAUUUCAAUUUUCAUGUGGACGUUGAUAAUGAUAGCCUUAAUACUGUCUUUAUCUCAUCAUUAGCUUUGAUUGGCUUCUGUCAGUGUGUACAUAAACCUACUCACUGUUUUAACCACACCCUUCACCUUGUUCUGGCAUGUGCCAAAGCAGCUGUCCUCCAGCAGCCUGGAGCAGAAGCUCCGACCGGCUCAGCUGCGAGAUUCAGAGCUUUCCAGCUUUCUCCUCUGUGGGAGAAGAUCUUAACCUGAAAGCCAGGACAGCUCCUAUUUAUGCUCUUUUCCAAGUGAGAACUGGUGACAUCAUUGUUACCUCACACAUGAUGUCAUAUAUCAUAAUAUAAUAUGUCAGUAUAGUAUGAUGUCAUAGUACACAUUGAUAUGUCAUAGAAGACUGUGAUGUCAUAAUGUAAUAAGAUAUGUUAUAGAAUAGUGUGAUAUCAUAGUAUACUGUAGGUAUUGUGUACUAUCUCAGUGAUGAAAUAUAGUCAUUGAAAUGCUGUUGAAACAACGGUUAUAUGUCAGCAAGACAUCGAGCUGACUAGUCACAGCUGUGAUUGGAAUCUUACCCUUCUAGUGGAGAAAAUGUGAUGCAGUGCACUAAUGGGUGCAAAUAAAAUGGAGAAAAGGUGAUGCAGUGACAUAUAGGCUGCCCUAUAUGCUAGAAAAUUAGUAGUAUUUAAUAGUUAUACUUUUCUAUACUUAUUUUUACAUUUACAUAAUGAAACAACUAAAUCUCAGCCAGGGUUUCGAACUGUUUCACGAUAAAUGCAUGACGACCAAACAGCUAAAGUAAGUUAGUUUGACUGACUUUUUACUGCCUGUAAUGUUAAAUUAAUUAUUUAAUGUGAAUCAAUAUGUAUAUCAAGAGAUACAGCAUACGGAAGAUAAAAUCUGGAUAUUCGUGACCAUACUUAUUCUAUUGUCUGUACAGCAGCUCUGGAAACUGAGAAACGUUUCUGUGGAAGCCUUUUGUAUCAGUGCCUGAGAUAUUGCUUUUUUGUCUGCAUUCAGGCUAUCUUUCCAGGAACAGGGAUUCCUUUUCACUCAUGUCAAAUUCAGGUUGAAGCCGUAGCCGUGCUCCCCCUUCACCAGGUGACACAGACGGGGAAGGAGCUCCGCUGUCGGCUCUGGUGAGGGCUGCACCUGCAGCUAUAAUGGGACAUAAGACAACAGUAAAGUCUAGGAUGAGAUGAUGGCAAUGCAACAACAUGAAAAAUACAUCCAAAAAUAUAAAGUGUGUAGCAUGCAUUUGAAAAUGUUUGGCAAAUGUAAAUACUAUGAUAGUUACUUAAGCAGUUAAAACUUGUAAAAACACUGUUAUGGCUCUUUAAAUAUAUGAUCAUUUUUGAGUCUGUAGUGAUGUUGUGUUGGACUGCACUAUACUGAAUAUUUUGUCCUCCUUCAAUAAAAUGAUGCAACCUACUACAACACCACCACUAAUGAUAGCCUCAAAAAUGACCAUAGCGUUUGAUGAUUGUUAGGGCUGAGCAAUAAUUCAUUAUCACAACUUUCAGUACAAUCGUCUCAUGACAAUAUGAUCAUAUCAAAUGAUCUUUUAACAAAAUUCUGUUGUCCACAUCAGUGAUUCCAAGCAAAUUGUAAUUUAAAAUAAACAAAACUAGUUAUUACAGUUUUUGUUUUACAGAGUUUUGUAAGAUGUAAUGCAAACAGGGGAACAUCAAUUUGAUUAUUUCAUAUUUAAUUUUGUAUACAUUUGCCAUUUUGUAAUAUAUUGUAAACAUUUUCUUAUUAAUAUUGUAAUACUGAUUUCAUAUUUAUUGCCCUGCCCUACUACAGGUGUACCUAUAUUGUGUAUAUUGGUGUGGCUGUACGAUGAGCUAAACAGGAAUAAGCUGCGAGGAUGAGCCAGCGGUCUCAGAGUUGAGCAGAGUGGGCUAAGUGGAUCUGGUUGAGAGACAUUAAGACCGAUCCCGAGCUUAAUGACCAAUGACAAGAGCUGACACAUUGCAUGACUCACCCGCUGACCGGGCCUCUACUACAAUGUACAUGUUGGAUGUGUCUGUGUGUGUGUGUGUGUGUGUGUGUGUGUGUUCUGUGCCAGCACUACGCAUUAGUCCCUGUCCUGAGGGUAGCCCAAGGAUAGUGACUAUCUAGUGACACUGCUUCAUGGGUAAGCUGACCUGAGGGCUCUCUGACAGAUCUCUCUGUCCUUUCUGCUCCAUCAACAACAGACUCAUUGUGCACGCACACACACACACACACGCAUACACACGUUUGUUUCACUAUCCCUGUGGGGGACAGUCAUUGACAUAAUGCUUUCCCUAGCCCCUUACCCUAACCUUAACCUAUGUUACCCCCCACCCUAUGUUUUGCCUACUAUUUUGAUAAGUCUUUUCAAGCAAUAAUGCCAAACAUUCACUGAUUCCAGUUUCUAAUUUGCUGAUUAUCUCUGUUUUAUAUGAUAAAAGAAAAUAAAUCUAAUAUCUUUGGGUAUUGGACUGUAAUUUGAAUCCGUCUCCUUGGGUGUGACGAGCAUUUGUCACUAUUUUCUGCCCUAAUAUCAAAGCAGUAUCUCCAAUUUAAUAUCUUACUAUAUGGUUCUAUAUAGAGAUUCCUCAUCUUUGUUUAACAACGACUGGAGCUUACUUUCUUAUACCUUCUUGAAAGUGUUAUUUCUAUGUUACAUUUUCUUAUAUUUUACAGAUAACUGAGUCAAAUGCCAUACAUUUAACAGGAGAAAUAAAAAAUUGCCUUUGUUCUAAACGUU